rnacentral:sRNA from 1 species
UAGACUCAUUCUUAUCCUAUAAAGCUUUUACGACAUCUAUAUAUACAUUUUUGCAGCCAUUUUAGCAAAUAAAUCUUAGAGUUGGACUUACUUACAACCAAAUGCCAUUAGCAAAAAAAAUU